rnacentral:tRNA from 1 species
GGGCCGUUAGCUCAGCUGGUAGAGCAGCGGACUUUUAAUCCGUUGGUCACUGGUUCGAAUCCAGUACGGCCCAC